CCGAGCUGAGGGACAGCCCCGCGGUUGUGGGUGUCCCGCGGCGCCGGAAACUGGGCGCACACACCCUCGGAUUGACGUGCACACGCGCACCGGUUACCUUCAGGAGCGCCGAAGAAAGAAAGAAGAACACAGAGCCCGAGGCAAAGCUUAAGUGCUUACGCUUUUUUCCGGAGGUACAGACCCAGCUCUGCGAGAGCCAGGGGAAAAGGAAGAGAGGCAGGGAAGGAAUGGCAGCAAGUACAAGGUGAUGAAUGACUGCACUGGCCAUUGCUUCAUGAAGAGCCACGAAAAAACAGAGCUGGUUUCUCAGCAGGUGGCUGGCUGCUCAGUCACAAAGGACUUCUUUGGACAGGCUUUAUGGAAAUACUGUGCCUAGGACAGUCGCUCAAAGGCGGGAGGGAGAGAAAAUGCAUCUGCAAGCUCACUUUGUCUUCUUUCUUCUGCUGGUCAAAAUUUGCUAGCUGGGGCAGUUAACGCCCUCACACAUCCGAGUUGUGUCACCUGGCCCCUUUGGUAGCCACUGGGGAAGCCAGAUCUAGGCAUGUGGCCUGAUGGCUCCUGCGGUGGAACCACAUGCUCACACUCAGUCAGUCACCACUGGGAUGGCCUGGGCAGGGCAGGCUGAGUGGCUGGGAGAUAGCUGAGCCUAAGAUAUCUAAGCAAGCACCUGUGAUGUAUGCACUGCAGUGUCCAAAUGUGAAAAAGCAAGGAAGGGAGAUAGAAGCAUAUUUUUUUCUGGAGAGAAGGAGGAAACCACCAGGAGAAUACAAACAGAAAAAAGAUGGAGUUGAGCUCUGUCGCCCAGGCUGGAGUGCAGUGGCACCAUCUCAGCUGACUGUGACCUCCACCUCCUGGGUUCAAGUGAUUGUCCUGCAUCAGCCUCCCGAGUAGCUGGGACUACAGGUGCACACCACCAUGCCCGGCUAAUUUUUGUAUUUUUGGUAGAGACGGGGUUUUGCCAUGAUGGCCAGGUUUGGUCUCAAACUCCUAACCUCAAGUGAUCCACCCUCCUCAGCCUCCCAAAGUGCUGGGAUUACAGGCGUGAGCCACUGCGCCCAGCCUACUUGAAUUUUUUUUUCUUUCUUUUUUUUUUUUUUUGAGACAGAGUUUUGCUCCUGUUGCCCAGGCUGGAGUGCAACGGCGUGAUCUCAACUCACUGCAACCUCUGCCUGCUGGGUUCAAGUGAUUCUCCUGCCUCAGCCUCCCAAGUAGCUGGGAUUACAGGUGCCCACCACCGUGCCUGGCUGAUUGUAUUUUUAGUAGAGAUGGGGUUUCAUCAUGUUUGCCAGGCUGGUCUUGAACUCCAGACCUCAGGUGAUCGGACUGCCUCGGCCUCCCAAAGUGCUGGGAUUACAGGCAUGACCCACUGUGCCCGGACCUGCUUGAAUUUUUAUGAUGAGCAUGUUGGCAGAUCACGAAUAUCAGCUUCCUGAGAGUGUAAAGCUCAUGUCUGUUCUGCUGUCUGCUGUUUCCCUAGUGCCUGACACAGUGACUGCCACAUAAGAAGAGCCCCUAAAAUAGUGAAAUAAAUGAAGAAUCACAUAAGUGAAAUCCUCUUGGUACCUGAGUAUGGACAAAGCUGGAAAACAGUGAUGGAGUUUUCCAUAGCAGCAUCCUAAGAAGACACCCUUGAGCGGUUGAGAACGCAUUUUGAGGACAUCAGCAAACACAGCCUAAGAGGGGCUUAAAUGGUGAUAUCACCUGGGCUUGCUUUCUCAGACUGCCAGCUCCAUGACAGCAAGAACCUUGUAUGACUUUUUCAUGAUGGAUGUUCAUCUGUGCCAUCUGUAAAUAUUUAAUAAAUAUUUGUGGAAUACAUGAAUCCAAAAGUGAAUGGAAUGAUAAAGAGGGAAAGGAUCAUGACAUCUACUACAGCAUUUGGCACAGACCCAGGUUUCCCUGGUACUGGUAAUUCCCAGCAGCUUUCUACAAUUCCAAAGUUGUCUGCAGUACUAUCAAGAGAUGACAUGGACUUCAAGGAUCAAACAGGGGAGAAAAAGGCUUAAAAGAAAAACAAGUCUCCAUCAAAGGUAAUAACCACAAUGAGAACUGUACAUAGCUAUGUGCUUAUAGGUCUUAGUUCACAUUCCCCUCAUUAAAAUUAUAGCUCAAGAAAUAAAGGGCUGUUUAAUGACUUGGGUAUAUAAAUAUACUUCAUUUGUAUAUUUUUUACUUGCUAAAAUCUAUCCAAAUUGGUAUUACCUCAAACCAUAAUCUUCUACUGUAUUUUAUAAUUUUACUUUCAAUUGCCAUGUAUUUUUCCCACUGAUGUUCACAAAUUCACAGGAAACAUCAGCCAUGUACUAAAUAAAAUAUGAAUUGAAUCGACAAAUAGAACCAUAAAUUUAAUUCAUGCACAUGUAAAAUUUAGACCAAAGAAUAAAAAUGUCUAUUAAAAAUACAGCCAAGCAUGGUGGCUCACACCUGUAAUCCCAGCACUUUGGGAGGCCGAGGUGGGUGAAUCAUCUGAGGUCAGGAGUUUGAGACCAGCCUGGCCAUUGUGGUGAAACCCCAUCUCUACUAAAAUACAAAAAUUAGCUGGGUGUGAUGGUGGGCACCUGUAAUCCCACUACUUGGGAGGCUGAAGCAGGAGAAUCGCUUGAACCCAGGAGGCGGAGGUUGCAGUGAGCCGAGAUCCUGUCACUGCACUCUAGCCUGGGCGACAGAGAGACUCUGUUUCAAAACAAAACAAAACAAAACAAAAAACAAUCGAUUUAAAAUACUACAGUUUAGAAUCCUGUUGAGUUCCGCAUUAUUGGGAGCAAAAUCAAAUCAUGGACAUAAAUAUGUUGAGAAAAGCAAGAGAGACACAUGACACAAAAUGAAAGUUUCCAUGCUAGAAAUGGACAUGGAUAUAUAGAAGAUGUGUGACAUCCACAAGUCAGAAUGGAAAAGAAAGCAAGACAUAGAAUUUAUAAGAAUAAAACUCACAUAGAGAUAAGAGAAAUGAGCUUUCAUGGUAUCUGAUGUAGGCUUUUGGGAAAUUGCCACCAAAUAUUUUUAAAAUUAGGACACAUUUUCCCAACCAUAAGCAUAAAUGAGUUAGCCUUGAUAUUUGCUUCAUGAAUUGGGUAAAAUUAAGCUGAGGGCCAGAUGUUUUCCAUCUGUGUUUUAGAUUAUGCUAAACAUAAAAUGAUUAGAAAGCACCCAUAUAUGACUGGUUUAACUAUACAUGAAAAAAUCAGAUGACAUUUAGACACUGCCUUAGACUUUAGAAAAUUUUAGUGUAUUUUGAUGUCAGAAUUUUGACAAGUAAUGAAAAUAUUAGAUGAAUAGUUUUACUGUAAAACAAACUUCCAUUUCAUAAUAGGCAUAAUGAAUCUUCAUAAUGCUGAAACAACUUUUUGAAAAGUGAAAGCUGCAGAUUUUCCAAGUGGUAUCAAACUAAGAGCUGGGUUUAUUUACCCUGAAUUACAUUUUGGUAUGAGGUAGACAAUCAAAAUGUAUUAGUUAAUGUGGUUUAUUAUGUGUUGUGCAGAUACUACUAUAGUUCAUAUGCAUAGGCCGAUUUAUGAAUUAAGUCUCAAAUAUCCAAUAGAGGAUUAUACUUUAGAUAAUUGCUAAAGACACGGAAAGAAAAGUGCAUAAAGUCUAGAAAGGGAAGUCAUCAAAAUGUCAGCAUGAAACUAUAUCAAUCAUCAUGUACAAAUCUUCAAUUGGUAAUAAGCUGUAAUAGUAAAACAAUUGUGAAACUAUCAAUCCGUAGCUGUUUGAUUACAUCUUUGUUGAACAAAUAUCACUUGUUAAUUAUAGUCAGGAACAUUAAGUUAUUCUAUAAUGUCCAUAAAUUAAUCUGAAACAUUGCUGUCUCUGGCAACAUAGUAGAUUCUUUAAAAAUAAUCAAGGAAGGAGCAACUGACAUCAAGAUCUUUAUACAAAAACGUGUUGAGUCUGAACAUUAGAGAAAAAUUUACUGUCUAUAUUAAAUAAAUCACAUGCCACACUAAUCAGGUUACCAUUAUAGUGGCCCAAUAAUGAAACAUGUUCUUUUGUUGUAUUAAUCUAAACAUAUAUCUCAUUAUUAACAUACAUCUAUCUAGAUAUUUUCCUUAUUUUUUCCUACUCUAUUGAACUAUGUUGGUGCAUGACAUUUCAAAACUGCCCUGGGUCUCAUACUCCUUUAAAGUUCUCUCUAUCAUGCAAACCAGAAGGUCAUGAUAUUUAAUAGAAAAUUAAUAUCGCUUGUUUUGAGUGGCCCUCAAUUUGGGACAUUAGCAAACUAUAAUUACACUUACUAUAACACAAAGCUUAAAGUUUGAAUCUGAUUCUAUAACACAGACUAUUUCCCAGUGAGAAUGGUCAAUUUACCUUGACUAGUCAUUGUUUAAUGUGAUGAGCUAAUCCAAGUAAAAGUGGCUUGCAAUUUUAGAGCCCUAAACAACUUACUAGAUGUUUACAUGAAUUUGAAGUCAUAGCUACAGCUAUAACAUUCUGUGAAACAGUCAUAGCAGAAAUGAAAUAAAUAGAAAACACUGAAGAUGUUGCUUUCAACUAAUACUUAAAACCCCACAAUAUUAGAAGAAAAAAUAGUACAGCUUGGGGUAAAAAAACUGACUUUUCUACAAAUGUCAUUGUUUCAAAUAGGUUUCUGCAAGAGGCAUGCUUGGCAAGAUUAAUUUUUUAAUUGGCAUGUCUUGUUUGAUUAAAGUAAAAUAAUUUAAAAGAAUAUACAAUAUACGGCCGGGCGCGGUGGCUCACACCUGUAAUCCCAGCACUUUGGGAGGCCAAGGUGGGCGGAUCAUGAGGUCAAGAGAUUGAGACCAUCCUGGCCAACAUGGUAAAACUCUGUCUCUAUAAAAAUACAAAAAUUAGCCAGGCAUGGUGGCACGCACCUGUAGUCCCAGCUACUCAGGAGGCUGAGGCAGGAAAACUGCUUGAACCCGGGAGGCAGAGGUUGCAGUGAGCCGAGAUGGUGCCACUGCACUGCAGCCUGGCGACAGAGUGAGAUUCCGUCUCAAAAAAAAAAAAAAAAAAAAAAAAACCCAAAAAUAUAGUCAUAAGAUUUAAACACUAGUUGAAACUAGAAAAUAACAUGGAGAUUACAGUUGUAUUUUCUUUAACGUAAUUUACUUUCAUUCAUUACCAGAACUAUUUAAAACUAGUGAUCAGUUAAGAGUAUAUUUGCACAUUUUUUUCUUGAGAAAAGCAGAUAACUACAGUGUUAAUAAAUUCAGAAACACAUGCUUCUAAAUUAACUAAUUUACUGAUAUUUCAAUUUCUCCAUGUUUCCAAGUUCUUGCUCAAAAUGGUUCAAAAACUGUUAAAAUUAAAAUAAUAUCACGAAUUUUAGUAUUUUAAAAGAAUACUGUACAUUACAUUUGCAUGCUAAUAAAACAGUUGCUUUAAAAUCUACAAUGCCUACUGACAUUUGAGGCAAUCAUUAACAUAUUUUCUUCAAUAAGUUUUUUAAACUUAAUUGAAUUGUUUGCUGGGAUCUUUAAGUGAAACCUUGAAUAAAGUUGGUGGAUUAAACUUACUUUUUUAAUGCUGCCUACUUCUUUAAUGUUGUCAGAUUUGCAGUGGUACAAUCCUAUCAGAUUUGCAGUGGUACAAUGAGCAAGCCUUUCAGCUGUACCACGUUAAAGACCAUACUUUUUCAAUUUGCAGGUGCAAUUAAGUAAAACCAUAAGAAAGUUAUUUUGUCAUAAGACUUUGUUCUACUUUAAAAAAUUAUAUACAUUUAUUUUGUUUUUCUCUAAUAACCACAA